AGUGAACGCUGGCGGUAGGCCUAACACAUGCAAGUCGAACGGCAGCAUAGUAAGAGCUUGCUCUUACGGGUGGCGAGUGGCGGACGGGUGAGGAAUACAUCGGAAUCUACUUUUUCGUGGGGGAUAACGUAGGGAAACUUACGCUAAUACCGCAUACGACCUACGGGUGAAAGCAGGGGAUCUUCGGACCUUGCGCGAUUGAAUGAGCCGAUGUCGGAUUAGCUAGUUGGCGGGGUAAAGGCCCACCAAGGCGACGAUCCGUAGCUGGUCUGAGAGGAUGAUCAGCCACACUGGAACUGAGCCACGGUCCAGACUCCUACGGGAGGCAGCAGUGGGGAAUAUUGGACAAUGGGCGCAAGCCUGAUCCAGCCAUACCGCGUGGGUGAAGAAGGCCUUCGGGUUGUAAAGCCCUUUUGUUGGGAAAGAAAAGCAGCAGGUUAAUACCCCGCUGUUCUGACGGUACCCAAAGAAUAAGCACCGGCUAACUUCGUG
rnacentral:rRNA from 1 species